GAGUUUGAUCCUGGCUCAGGACGAACGCUGGCGGCGUGCCUAACACAUGCAAGUCGAACGAGGUCCAUGCAGUGGCAACACUGCGGAAGACCUAGUGGCGAACGGGUGAGUAACACGUGAGGAACUUGCCCCGGAGACCGGGAUAACCCUCCGAAAGGAGAGCUAAUACCGGAUGUCCUCACCGAGUCGCAUGGCUUGGUGAGGAAAUGGAUUCCGCUCCGGGAGAGCCUCGCGGCCUAUCAGCUAGUUGGUGGGGUAACGGCCCACCAAGGCGUCGACGGGUAGCUGGUCUGAGAGGACGAUCAGCCACACUGGGACUGAGACACGGCCCAGACUCCUACGGGAGGCAGCAGUGGGGAAUCUUGCGCAAUGGGCGAAAGCCUGACGCAGCAACGCCGCGUGCGGGAUGAAGGCCCUCGGGUUGUAAACCGCUUUCAGUGGGGACGAACCAAGACGGUACCCACAGAAGAAGCCCCGGCCAACUACGUGCCAGCAGCCGCGGUAACACGUAGGGGGCAAGCGUUGUCCGGAUUCAUUGGGCGUAAAGAGCUCGUAGGCGGUUCGAUAAGUCGGGUGUGAAACCUCCAGGCUCAACCUGGAGACGCCACCCGAUACUGUCGUGACUAGAGUCCAGUAGGGGAGCGUGGAAUUCCUGGUGUAGCGGUGAAAUGCGCAGAUAUCAGGAGGAACACCAGCGGCGAAGGCGGCGCUCUGGGCUGGAACUGACGCUGAGGAGCGAAAGCGUGGGGAGCGAACAGGAUUAGAUACCCUGGUAGUCCACGCCGUAAACGUUGGGUACUAGGUGUGGGGUCUUAUCAACGGAUUGAUAUCUGAACAUAUCGCAGUUACUACAGGAAUUGCGGAGUACGGUAGCAAGCUUUAGUCUCAACAGAAUCGGCGGGGGUCUGCACAAUCAGCGGAGCAGUUUCACUAAUGCGAGACAGCGCGAAGUACGAGCUCUGGGUUUGCCAUGAUAGGAAAAACCACAGAGAUAUUGUGUCCUUCCGGGCCUGUCGCCGGGUAGUCAUGCGGGUCUUCAUCUGUGGGUACGAGAUUGGUUCGUAAGCACCGAAACGAGCGUCAACCUGAGGGCAUUCAUCCAGCACGUAAUGGUGGGGAGUCGUAGGAGCGCCCCGGGGUCAAGAUUGAGGAAGGUGGGGUCGAGUAGGAGUCAUCAUGCCCUUUCAGUCCCAGGGUGCAAGCUUGUUCCAUCGGACCAUACAAAGGUCGACGAAACCGUGAGCCGUUACGACUCCCACAAAGCCAUUGUCAGUGAGGAUCUGCCUGAGCAGAUUGCAUCUCCGCAGCAAGACUUGCUAGUAAUCGAGGAUCUGCGGUAUCGGGUUGAAUUUGUUAGGGGUCCUUGUGCACCCCGGGCAACACACCCCGAAAGUCUGUAACACCCGAAGCCAGUUGCUUAACCCUUUGGGAAGGACAGUCGAAGGUGGGAUCGGCGUGUGGGGGGCAGUCGUAACAAGGUAGCCGUACCGGAAGGAGCGGCUGGAUCACCUCCUUUCU
rnacentral:rRNA from 1 species